AGCGAACGCUGGCGGCAGGCCUAACACAUGCAAGUCGAACGAAGUCUUCGGACUUAGUGGCGGACGGGUGAGUAACACGUGGGAACGUACCUUUUGGUUCGGAACAACUCAGGGAAACUUGAGCUAAUACCGGAUGAGCCCUUAGGGGGAAAGAUUUAUCGCCGAAAGAGCGGCCCGCGUUAGAUUAGCUAGUCGGUGAGGUAAAGGCUCACCAAGGCUACGAUCUAUAGCUGGUCUGAGAGGAUGAUCAGCCACACUGGGACUGAGACACGGCCCAGACUCCUACGGGAGGCAGCAGUGGGGAAUCUUGGACAAUGGGCGCAAGCCUGAUCCAGCCAUGCCGCGUGAGUGAAGAAGGUCUUCGGAUUGUAAAGCUCUUUUGCCAGGGACGAUAAUGACGGUACCUGGAGAAUAAGCCCCGGCAAACUUCGUGCCAGCCGCCGCAGUAAAAC
rnacentral:rRNA from 1 species